UUCACUAUCGAGGUACCACUAAUAGUGAUAACUUUAUCGAGAAGGUAGGGAUGUAAGUGUGCAUAACUGUGCCAAAUUUUGAUGAGUGCCAUAUGGAGAUUCCUUGUCAUAUCUAGUGCCAACCGUAUAACAUUGCUUAGUCCCCAAAACUUCUAACUGCCCUGAGCUACAAAAGACUAUUCAUGGUCGGCCGGAUGAUAUGAUUAAUGAGAUGAGUCCACCGCGUGGCGGCCUAGAGUACCACGCCUACAUCCUCACUAUCCUUCCCGAGGUCAUCUAGUAGCUAGCGUCACUGGACCACGAAUACCAUAGCGGUAAUGGUUUCUCUGGAUGUUGGUAGGGUCUAGCAAUAGCUAGUCGAAGUCCAUAUUUCAAUUGUUGAUGUUGUCCAGGCCCAUCAGUUGUGGUGGAUAAGCCAGAAUGAGAAGUGUUGGCUCGGUCCACUAGUGUUCAAUCGCCUUCGUCUUGAUGAUCUGAGCAACAAAGCCACCUCCCUUCUUGGUCUUCCAUCGGGCGGUGAAGAACUUGGCUACUACAUAGCCGAGGUGUAGACGUUGUCAGUUUUCAUGGCACACAUAAAGACUUAUUACUGCUUGAGAAAGUAGUGGUCAUAUCAAGUCUUGAUGUUGCAUAAGGAAAUGGAGUCUCACCAAACCACAUGAAAAGUGAGCUAAGGGGUCGAGUACCUGGAUUAUGAAGUGUGUCCCUAAUCCACUGACCAUCUAGGGAGUUGGUGAUCCGCCGCCAAACUGCCCUAACACCGACUAAGAUGUCAUUCGGGUAAUCCCCAUUGCUUAUGAUAUCUGAAUAGUUGUUGAAGGGACCGAUAAUCCUAGGGGGAUGGAAAACUGAUAGAGAGUCUCCAUGAAAUCUGUGCCACCUAAGGAGUACCUGAUAUAGUGCCCCGUUUGAUUCUCCCGUCGUGUGUUGUACGCGAAGCUGAAUCCUGAAGCGGAAAAAGUGAAAGUCAACAUGCCUCCACGAUUCAGCUCUUCUGCAAUCCUUUCUCUCCACUCCUUAGGGGAACUAGUGGAUGGGGUG
rnacentral:lncRNA from 1 species